rnacentral:lncRNA from 12 species
ACAAGGUAUGUGGGGAAAAAAUGAGUUUCACCAAAAAAUAUCAUUAUAACAUCAAAGUUAGUCAGUAUAUCUAGUGGUUAAGAGCAAAGCCUCUGGAAACCAGACUUGUGUGCACAUUCUGGCUUCAGUGCCUCUAGCUAGGGAUUUAUUUUCCCAAGCAUGUAAUGUUGUUAGGUUUAAAUAAGAUAAUACAUGUAAAGUAUUAUGUGCAAUUAUUGAAUCAGUGAGUUAAAAAAAAUUUAGCUAUUAUUUCUAUCAUUACUACUGCUAUUACUAACCUGGUCAGACUUAAUUGUAGAUAACAGAGUUUGGUUUAUUUGUGUAUGUGUGUGUGUUUGUUUCUUCUGUUGCAUUGUCUCAAGGUUUUUACUUCCUGUCCUAAACUUUGUAAAAUGCUGCUUAGCAUUAUUUUACCAGUAUUGUGGUCAUAAGUUAUCUCCAGAGAAAGUUUUGACAUCAAAUGGAGUGCUGUCCUUGAUUGAUUUCUGUACCAUUUUCAUUUACAUAGCUCUUUGGGGAUGAAAAGAUAUUGGCCAAGACUUUUUCCAUGUGUUCUUGAAAAUUAUCUAACUAAGUCCAAAAAAGAAAAAAGAGAGAAGGCUACACCCCAGAUUCAGAGUGGCCUGUCAGCACUCAAAGCCAUUCCAGAACUAGCACAGGCCUCAGAAGCUUCUCCCCAGCCUCACUCUGGGCUUAGGGUCAUGCAAUGCCAGACGUAUUUGUUUCUUUUCCAUCUCACUUCAAGGCCCUUGUCAAACGCAGCAUAACUUAACAGGCUCUGUCAGAGUUAGUACCUUGUAAAAGUACCUAGAGCCAAGCCAGCCACCUGCACUGUUCUGGAAGGCAGAAAUAUAGUUUAAAAAAAAAAAAGGACACACAUCUCUCCAUUCCUGCAGUGGACAUUCUAAUUCUCUUGCUACCAACUGGACAAAUUUCUCUCCUCUCAGAACCCAAGACAACCCAUUGUCUGGGCCUCUGUGUCUUCUCCCCCGACACAGAGACAAAGCUUCAAGGGCCUACCCUGCCCUACAGAGGCCCAGAGCUGGAGCCUUUCCUCAGAGGCAAGGUGGAGACUGAGAAGUUUACUCCCUUUGGCCCAGUAGGCAUAAAGGUGACUUCUUUUUACAACUCCCUCAGGCUGAUUUUUUCCACCCUACAAAUCAGUAAGCACAAAUCUUUGCAGAGAAGGCUGGAGUUUUAAGUGUUCAGUCAGGGAAGAAAAAAAAAAAAAACCCAACAACAUACACGCAACUUUUCCAA